rnacentral:lncRNA from 1 species
GCAGAUCUUCCGGAUCGAACUACGUAGUGACGUAUUUUAUAUAAGUUAAAUAUUCUAUCGAUAUGAAUUCUGAGGUUGGAUUUGAUUACUAUUCUAGGCGGCGAUCGUCGUGACGCCUUGAUGUGUGGUGCUAGGGAGUUGUUGGACGAACUCCAGGUGAGUGGGCAGUUUUGUUUUCCGUAUAUAUAUAUACUUAACGUUUUCCCAG